CUCAAGGUCACACGGCUCUGUCUUAGGGGACUCUGUCCAGGAGGUGAGCUGGGCCCUGCAGUCCCUCGUGGCUCUAAGAAAAGAAUAACGAGGAAUAAAUGCUUUGCUACCUCCCAGAACUGACAACUGCUUCGGGAAGAAGGAUCGCACAUCUGUUUUGCAGGAACAACUGAGCUCCUCUCAGCCAAGUAGGCAAACUGCAGAGCCUUCUCGCAUCUUCCUCCGUCUUCCUUCCCAAGGCAAAUGGAACCUUGGGCAUGCGGUGGUGGGCUGUGAGGACGGGCCCCUGUGGAUCUCGCCAGGUGGGUGGGAUAAGCCCAGCCACGUGGCAGACCCUGCUUCAGUGAAGUGGGACAGUGACAGCACCUGCCUCCUAGGCCCAUGAGCUUUUGCUCUGUAAGUACACACAGAGCCCCCAGAAUUGCCUGUGGCAUGCAGUGAGUGCCCAGCAAAUGCCAGCAUUCUCCUCCUGUUUUAAAAGGCCUCAGUGGCUCGUCAAGCAAGUAGCAGGCAAACAAAGUCAUGUAAGCAUCUAAGGAUAGGGACCCCAUUUCUCAGAUGAGUAAUAAAGCUUCAAAAGCAAUGAACCAAAGUAGCGUGAUUCACAAUCGCUUAGAGGUGGAAGCAACCCAUGUUCAUUGGGCUACUGGUGGAUUAACCAAGCAUGGUGCAUCCAUGCGGUGGAAUCUUCCUCAGCCCUAAAAAGGAAGGGCAGGCUGACACCUGCCACACCGUGGACGGAGCUUAGAGACGUCAUGCUCAUGAGAUUAAACCAGUCGUGGAAAGACAAAUCAUUCUGGAUGAUUUCACUUUACAUGAGGACUGCAGAGGAGUCCAGCUCCUAGAAACAGGGGCACCUGGGUCGCUCAGUCAUUAAAGGUCUGCCUUCUGCUCAGGU